rnacentral:rRNA from 1 species
UACGAAGGGGGCUAGCGUUAAUCGGAAUUACUGGGCGUAAAGCGUGCGCAGGCGGUUUUGUAAGACAGAGGUGAAAUCCCCGGGCUCAACCUGGGAACUGCCUUUGUGACUGCAAGGCUUGAGUGCGGCAGAGGGGGAUGGAAUUCCGCGUGUAGCAGUGAAAUGCGUAGAUAUGCGGAGGAACACCGAUGGCGAAGGCAAUCCCCUGGGCCUGCACUGACGCUCAUGCACGAAAGCAUGGGGAGCAAACAGG